UACAGAGGGUGCUAGCGUUGUUCGGAAUCAUUGGGCGUAAAGGGCGUGUAGGCGGUUUGUUAAGUCAUGUGUGAAAUCCCUCGGCUCAACCGGGGAAGGACGCAUGAAACUGGCAAGCUAGAGUACCAAAGAGGGGGGUGGAAUUCCCGGUGUAGCGGUGAAACGCGUAGAUAUCAAGCGGAACACCGGUGGCGAAGGCGGCCCUCUGGACAGUGACUGACGCUGAGACGCGAAAGCGUGGGGAGCAAACAGG
rnacentral:rRNA from 1 species